GCGUGAAAGUGCUGCGCGGCCCGGCUGCCGAUACUUUAACGUCGCUUGAUCGAUGAGAAAGGGGGCCCCAAACGGCCCGCCCGCGUCGCCGCUUCCCAUAACGAUUCGGAUUUGUAAAUCGACACGCCACGCCAAGGGGACCAGGGGACGUAAAAACUAAUCUUAAAUCUACUAAUUUUAUAACUAAAAAAAAAGGAAAGAAGGAGAAAGAAGAGUAUAAGACUUAUCGGUACGGAUAACCCGACACCAAUCGAAGUUGCCGAUAUAAAUCGCAGUGCGAUGAUAGUUUGUUGAAGUCAUGGUAUAUGAAAGCGUAAUUGUCCCGGAAGAAACGGACAAUCCACUCCAUAAUGAACUAACUUACAGAGAAAUGAAACAGAUUGCCAGUCCCUGCGCAAGCUCAGAGACAGUACAGCGAACCUUCUCAGGAGAAGAUCAUGAUCAGCUCCCCUCUCGGGAUAGGAACCGUCCUACCUGAACAUUAGAUACUUCGGUAACCUACUCUACUCUGCAGUUAUAGAUUCGUGACCGUACCAGCGAGCCAUAGUCAAGCUUGGACCUAACGUAACAUCAUGUGAGGUACAAAAGAGAACGUCUGGUCAAGUAAAAUCCCCAGAUCCGUCACAGUGGCAAGUCUAGUCAGGAUAGUACCAUCCAUAUUGUAAUUAAAGACUAUGCUAGUUUUUGUGCGGUGGUAAGAUACCACAUUACACUUGCUGAUGUUAAGAUGCAAUUUAUUUUUAGGACACCACUGACUGACAAUAUUGAUAUUGUCCUGGAGGGUCAUGCAGUCCGUGCCGGUUUCAAUGCAUUCAUAUAGUUUUAGGUCAUCCGCAUAGGCAAGCUUGUCGCAGAUGGUUAAUAUAUUGAGCAGAAGAUUGGAACCUUGAGGCACAUCAGAAGUUGGAAUAAAAGGAACUGAUGCAUACCCCUCAAUCUCAACAAACAAUUCAUCAGAUAGGGGACCUCAACACUGUAAUCAGCGAAUCGGAGAAACCAAA